rnacentral:rRNA from 1 species
AACAGGAUUAGAUACCCUGGUAGUCCACGCUGUAAACGAUGUCGACUUGGAGGUUGUGCCCUUGAGGCGUGGCUUCCGGAGCUAACGCGUUAAGUCGACCGCCUGGGGAGUACGGCCGCAAGGUUAAAACUCAAAUGAAUUGACGGGGGCCCGCACAAGCGGUGGAGCAUGUGGUUUAAUUCGAUGCAACGCGAAGAACCUUACCUACUCUUGACAUCCAGAGAAUUUGCUAGAGAUAGCUUAGUGCCUUCGGGAACUCUGAGACAGGUGCUGCAUGGCUGUCGUCAGCUCGUGUUGUGAAAUGUUGGGUUAAGUCCCGCAACGAGCGCAACCCUUAUCCUUUGUUGCCAGCGAGUAAUGUCGGGAACUCAAAGGAGACUGCCGGUGAUAAACCGGAGGAAGGUGGGGAUGACGUCAAGUCAUCAUGGCCCUUACGAGUAGGGCUACACACGUGCUACAAUGGCAUAUACAAAGAGAAGCGAACUCGCGAGAGCAAGCGGACCUCAUAAAGUAUGUCGUAGUCCGGAUUGGAGUCUGCAACUCGACUCCAUGAAGUCGGAAUCGCUAGUAAUCGUAGAUCAGAAUGCUACGGUGAAUACGUUCCCGGGCCUUGUACACACCGCCCGUCACACCAUGGGAGUGGGUUGCAAAAGAAGUAGGUAGCUUAGCCUUCGGGAGGGCGCUUACCACUUUGUGAUUCAUGACUGGGGUGAAGUCGUAACAAGGUAACC